GUAGGUGGCAAGCGUUGUCCGGAAUUAUUGGGCGUAAAGCGCGCGCAGGCGGUUCUUUAAGUCUGAUGUGAAAGCCCACGGGCUCAACCGUGGAGGGUCAUUGGAAACUGGAGAACUUGAGUACAGAAGAGGAAAGCGGAAUUCCACGUGUAGCGGUGAAAUGCGUAGAGAUGUGGAGGAACACCAGUGGCGAAGGCGGCUUUCUGGUCUGUAACUGACGCUGAGGCGCGAAAGCGUGAGGAGCAAACAGGAUUAGAUACCCUGGUAGUCCACGCCGUAAACGAUGAGUGCUAAGUGUUAGGGGGUUUCCGCCCCUUAGUGCUGCAGCUAACGCAUUAAGCACUCCGCCUGGGGAGUACGGCCGCAAGGCUG
rnacentral:rRNA from 1 species